UGCGGAUGAUCGACUUCAUGACUGAAACC
rnacentral:sRNA from 1 species